CUUUAUUAUGACUCAUUUAUUAUGAAUCCUUUUUUAUGAAUCCUUUGUAAUGAAUCCUUUAUAAUGAAUCGUUUAUAAUGAAUCGUUUAUAAUGAAUCGUUGAUAAUGAAUUGUUCAUAAUGAAUCCUUUAUAAUGAAUCGUUUAUAAUGAAUCCUUUAUGCACUAAGGCGGUCUCACUGAGUGGAAACUAGGAAACUGAGAUGGAGUAGAGAAGCUUCUGAGAAGGUUUUGUACAUUUAAAUUCAUGUAACACUUGUUAGGAAAGUCAAGCAUUUCCAUGUAUAUAUAUAUAUAUAUCUGAAGCAUAUCCUUGACCUGAAGAACAGCUGCUCACAUUGUGGACCUGCUGGUGAGAGCCAGAGGGUGACAGAGCAGCUGAGAGGUACCGGAGGCCUCCUGCUGAGAAGCAGAUUAUUUAUUAGUACUUGGAGUUUAUUUACUGGACCUAUGAAACAUCGAAACAUGAAAGACAUUUCAUCUUUCUUAUGAUAUGAUAUUCCUUUAGUCGUCUGUGUGUCUAUGUAUUAUGCCUGAUACAGUUAAAGUCAGUCAGUUUAACUCUAUACAGGAUCCAUGGGAGGACAACACAGCUUCAACAUUAUACAACGUUAUUUCUGUAAAAUCCAUGAAUCUGUAUAUUUUGAUAAUAAAGUAAUGAUACGCUGCUGGUCACCUAACAUACUCUGCUCUAGUCAGGGCCCUCGUGGUUGCUAUGACGAUGGGAUACGUUCCUUAUCUCUAUCUAACACUGACACUUUGAUUUAACAGAAGAAACACAUGCAGUCAGCAGGACCUGGGGUCCAGACUCGGGUCAAAGAGGACGGAAAUCUCCUGAGGAGGUUCUGAGGAGGUUCUGAGGAGGUUCUCCUGAACCACGAACAACACGAGAGACGAGAGUCACAGAGACUCCUUCAGCCUAACACACACACACACACACACACACAGAUUGCAUUAGCGUGCCGGCUGCGUGGAAAGCCUCCGCCCGCCUCGCCGCCAGAGGAACGAUCCAGGAAGCAAUGACAAGUCUUCCUGGUCUUCACCUGCUGGUCCUCACAGGGACGUCUCACUGAAGGUUCUGGAUCCUCU